rnacentral:rRNA from 1 species
GGACUACCGGGGUAUCUAAUCCUUCUUGCUACCCAAGCCUUCGUCCCUCAACGUCAGUUUUUACAUAGAAGGUUGCCUUCGCCUAUAUCAGUCCUUUUAGUAUCAUAAAAUUUUAUCUCUACUCUAAAAGUUCUCACCUUCUCUUAUAAAACUCUAGUAAAAAAGUACCCUAUAAGGAUUUAAUUUACUGUCUAGGUACCCUUUAAACCUAAUAAAGAUGACUAACACUAGUCUUUUACGUAUUACCGCGGCUGCUGGCAC